AAUGCAUACAUUAGAUGUUCUAGCUAUAUCCGAUGUAUGACCGUAUUUUGUUAUCAUUUAAUAUUAUGAUGCGUGGAAUUGUUUUAUCAUAGCAUAUCUGGUUCAUGUCUGGGCUGUAAAAACACAUAUAGCAUAGAAUUACUUUACUUUAGGUGUUAACUGUAGUAGAAUAAAAUUAUCUUUUGAAAAGGUUUUAAUGCAACUACAUGUGUUUUAAAGAUUUAAGUUCUUGUAGUGCCAUUACGAUUUUAUUGCCUACCUGUAUGUUACAUGUACGUUUUGCUUGAGCAAUAAAAGUGGUUUUAUUGUGUUU
rnacentral:sRNA from 1 species